rnacentral:sRNA from 1 species
AGCAGCCGCGGUAAUUCCAGCUCCAAUAGCGUAUAUUAAAGUUGUUGUGGUUAAAAAGCUCGUAGUUGAACCUUGGGCCUGGCUGGCCGGUCCGCCUCACCGCGUGUACUGGUCCGGCCGGGCCUUUCCCUCUGUGGAACCCCAUGCCCUUCACUGGGUGUGGCGGGGAAACAGGACUUUUACUGUGAAAAAAUUAGAGUGCUCCAGGCAGGCCUAUGCUCGAAUACAUUAGCAUGGAAUAAUAGAAUAGGACGUGUGGUUCUAUUUUGUUGGUUUCUAGGACCGCCGUAAUGAUUAAUAGGGACAGUCGGGGGCAUCAGUAUUCAAUUGUCAGAGGUGAAAUUCUUGGAUUUAUUGAAGACUAACUACUGCGAAAGCAUUUGCCAAGGAUGUUUUCAUUAAUCAGGAACGAAAGUUAGGGGAUCGAAGACGAUCAGAUACCGUCGUAGUCUUAACCAUAAACUAUGCCGACUAGGGAUCGGACGGUGUUAUAUUUUGACCCGUUUCGGCACCUUACGGG